rfam:Danio rerio unplaced genomic contig CTG2478, GRCz11 reference primary assembly.
GGCCCAGUGGCCUAAAGGAUAAGGCAUCAGCCUCUGGAGUUGGGCGUUGUGGGUUCAAGGCCCGUCUGGGUUG